UACGGAGGGGGCUAGCGUUGUUCGGAAUUACUGGGCGUAAAGCGCACGUAGGCGGCUUUGCAAGUUAGAGGUGAAAGCCCGGGGCUCAACCCCCGGAAUUGCCUUUAAGACUGCAUCGCUCGAAUCCAGGAGAGGUGAGUGGAAUUCCGAGUGUAGAGGUGAAAUUCGUAGAUAUUCGGAAGAACACCAGUGGCGAAGGCGGCUCACUGGACUGGUAUUGACGCUGAGGUGCGAAAGCGUGGGGAGCAAACAGG
rnacentral:rRNA from 1 species